rnacentral:tRNA from 1 species
GGCUGUAUAGCUCAGUGGUAGAGCGAGGGAUUCAUAAACCCUAGGUCGUAGGUUCAAUUCCUACUUCAGCCA